rnacentral:rRNA from 1 species
UACGGAGGGUGCAAGCGUUAAUCGGAAUUACUGGGCGUAAAGCGCACGCAGGCGGUCUUUUAAGUCAGAUGUGAAAUCCCCGGGCUCAACCUGGGAAGUGCAUGUGAAACUGGAAGACUAGAGUCAUGUAGAGGGGGGUAGAAUUCCAGGUGUAGCGGUGAAAUGCGUAGAGAUGUGGAGGAAUACCGGUGGCGAAGGCGGCCCCCUGGACAAAGACUGACGCUCAGGUGCGAAAGCGUGGGGAGCAAACAGG